rnacentral:rRNA from 1 species
CACGUAGGCACCAAGCGUUGUCCGGAUUUAUUGGGCGUAAAGAGCUCGUAGGCGGUUCGGUAAGUCGGGUGUGAAAACUCUGGGCUCAACCCAGAGCCGCCACCCGAUACUGCUGUGACUUGAGUUCGGUAGGGGAGCGGGGAAUUCCUGGUGUAGCGGUGAAAUGCGCAGAUAUCAGGAGGAACACCAGUGGCGAAGGCGGCUCACUGGCCCGGUACUGACGCUGAGGUGCGAAAGCGUGGGGAGCAAACAGG